ACUGCCUUUUUCUGUCAACAGGACCCAAGGAUAUAAUUCCCCGAGUGACUUGAAACAUGCUCUUCACUUGCUCCUUUUUCUCUAUGUUAAUACAGAGUGUUUUCCUCAAGGCAUUACUGACUGAUGCUGAACUCUGGGUUAAAUUCACCUUCUGCUGAAGUAAUUGAAAGAGUGAAGCAAUCAGCACAACACUGCUAGAAAAGCCAGUAAGAUUCCCUCUUUCGUAAGAUGUGAGAACUCUGAAUCGUUACUGCUAAUUGUACAGUCCAAGUGCCUGGGGUGGAAAAUACAUGCGUGUCGGUAAUCUAUUUGUGAGCUAUUCCAAGAUGACUGUGUAUGUGCUCAAAACUGUAUAAAUAAAUGCACAGGAAUCUGGAGACUAACCUGUGGA
rnacentral:lncRNA from 1 species